AACCUGCCUUAGUGUGGGGAAUAGCCGGCCCAACGGCCGGGUAAUACCGCAUACGAUUCUCGAGGGGAGUCCCUUGGGAAGGAAACCUCCGGGGCACUGAGAGGGGCUCGCGGCCUAUCAGCUAGUUGGCGGGGUAACGGCCCACCAAGGCGACGACGGGUAGCUGGUCUGAGAGGAUGGCCAGCCACAUUGGGACUGAGAGACGGCCCAGACUCCUACGGGAGGCAGCAGUGGGGAAUCUUGCGCAAUGGCCGAAAGGCUGGCGCAGCGACGCCGCGUGUGGGAGGAAGCCCUUCGGGGUGUAAACCACUGUUGCCCGGGACGAACAUCCCUUUUCGAGGGGACUGACGGUACCGGGUGAGGAAGCACCGGCUAACUCCGUGCCAGCAGCCGCGGUAAUACGGAGGGUGCGAGCGUUGUCCGGAAUCACUGGGCGUAAAGGGCGCGUAGGUGGCGCGGGUAGUCAACGGUGAAAGCUCGGGGCUCAACCCCGAGUCGGCCGUCGAUACUCCCGUGCUUGAGCACUGUAGAGGCAGGUGGAAUUCCGGGUGUAGCGGUGGAAUGCGUAGAGAUCCGGAAGAACACCGGCGGCGAAGGCGGCCUGCUGGGCAGUAGCUGA
rnacentral:rRNA from 1 species